GGCUGGUCCAGUGGUAGUGGGUUAUCAGAACUUAUUAACAUUAGUGUCACUAAAGUUGGUAUACAACCUCCAACUGCUAAAUUUGACUGACUUAAA
rnacentral:Y_RNA from 1 species